rnacentral:rRNA from 1 species
GACGAACGCUGGCGGCGUGCUUAACACAUGCAAGUCGAGCGGAAAGGCCCUUCGGGGUACUCGAGCGGCGAACGGGUGAGUAGCACGUGAGUAACCUGCCCCAGACUUUGGGAUAACCCUCGGAAACGGGGGCUAAUACCGGAUACGACACAGCUUCGCAUGGGGUCUGUGUGGAAAGUUUUUCGGUUUGGGAUGGGCUCGCGGCCUAUCAGCUUGUUGGUGGGGUGAUGGCCUACCAAGGCGACGACGGGUAGCCGGCCUGAGAGGGCGACCGGCCACACUGGGACUGAGACACGGCCCAGACUCCUACGGGAGGCAGCAGUGGGGAAUAUUGCACAAUGGGCGGAAGCCUGAUGCAGCGACGCCGCGUGAGGGAUGACGGCCUUCGGGUUGUAAACCUCUUUCAGCAGGGACGAAGCUUAAGUGACGGUACCUGCAGAAGAAGCGCCGGCCAACUACGUG